rnacentral:rRNA from 1 species
GACGAACGCUGGCGGCGUGCUUAACACAUGCAAGUCGAACGGAAAGUCCCUGCCUGUGUCUUGUGCUCGAGUAGCAAACGGGUGGGUAACACGUUAGUAACCUGCCCUUUACUUUGCGAUAACUUCAGGAAACUGGGGCUAAUACCGGAUAUAAUCUCCUGCUGCAUGGUUUGGGGUGGAGAGGUUCGGCGGUUGGGGCUUGACUCGCGGCGUAGCAGGUUGUUGGGGGGGUAGUGGCUUACCAAGGCUUUGACGGGUAGCCGGCCUGAGAGGGUGACCGGCCACAUUGGGACUGAGAUGCGGCCCAGACUCAUACGGGAGGCAGCAGUGGGAAAUAUUGCGAAAUGGGCGGAAGCAUGAUGCAGCAACGCCGCGUGCGGGAUGACGGCCGUCGGAUUGUAAACCGCUUUCGCCUGUGACGAAGAGUGAGUGACGGUAAUGAGUAAAGAAGCAACGGCUAACUACGUG